AUUGAACGCUAGCGGGAUGCUUUACACAUGCAAGUCGAACGGCAGCGCGAGGGAGCUUGCUCUCUUGGCGGCGAGUGGCGAACGGGUGAGUAAUGUAUCGGAACGUGCCCAGUAGCGGGGGAUAACUACGCGAAAGCGUGGCUAAUACCGCAUACGCCCUACGGGGGAAAGGGGGGGAGUUCUUCGGAACCUCUCACUAUUAGGAGCGGCCGAUAUCGGAUUAGCUAGUUGGUGGGUAAGG
rnacentral:rRNA from 1 species